UCACUGUCAUUUUUCCUUCGAGAGAGAGGCUUAUUUCCGGCUUCGGCCCACCUACACUCUUACGGCUCCAAGCCAAGUCUUUUCCAAUUGGCAGCCAACGAGACCAGACGUCUCAGUUUAAGAAGAAAACCAAAGGUGACUACCAACAGCAGCAACUUAUAAAGCUUAAAGCUCAAAGCUGAGGAAACUGCAGAGGAGGAGAUUAUUUGCUGGUUUAUUUUUGGUUUUGCUAGUGAGCAAAAAGAAAAAAGGAAAAACUACUGCCACGUGCCAGGUCCAUCCAGGGGCUUGGCAGCGGAAUUUUUUGUGGCAGAUGGACAAAUUUUUUGUAUGGAGAGGUUAAGGCCGUCCUGGGAAAAGUCAGUAGCCAGCGGAAAAUUUAGUAAAAGUGGAAAGUGGAAAUUAAAUUAGCCAAGAAAAACCAGGCUUAAAAAUAGUGCUUAAAUUAUGACUAAAAUUCCCCACCAAAAAUUAACCUAACACGUGCAGCCUGAAAAAAAAAAAAAAAAAAAAAAAAACAAUUACAGUGAAACAAAUAAUAUAUAAAGUGAAAAAU